rnacentral:rRNA from 1 species
UACGUAGGGUGCGAGCGUUGUCCGGAAUUACUGGGCGUAAAGGGCGCGUAGGCGGGAUGGCAAGUCGGUCGUGAAAUCCCUCGGCUCAACCGAGGAACGUCGAUCGAUACUGCUGUUCUUGAGGAUUGCAGAGGAGACUGGAAUUCCCGGUGUAGCGGUGAAAUGUGUAGAGAUCGGGAGGAACACCGGUGGCGAAGGCGGGUCUCUGGGCAAUUCCUGACGCUGAGGCGCGAAAGCGUGGGGAGCAAACGGG